AGAUUUCCAAGCAACCAAAACUUGUGGAAGAAGAAGCUCUUAGACUAACUCAAAGCUUAAAUCAAAAGCUGCAGAGGGUUGAACAACUUCUAUCAAGGAUAGAAAAGCAAAUUUUUGGAUGAACUAUCUGUUCUCCAAAAACACCGAAUCCUACAAAGAAGCCCUCAAAGCCAUAGAGCCUAUCGAUCCCCCAUCCUUAGGAUUUCUCAAAACAAACGAUUACCCGGGGACCCUUAGCCACCAAGCAGCUGUAAUUAAACAGCACAACACACAAAUCCAACUCCUCAC
rnacentral:lncRNA from 1 species